AACUAGGAUUAGAUACCCUAUUAUUAAAAUUUAAAAUUUAAUACUAAAAUAGUAAAUAAUAAUUUAUUAAAACUUAAGUAAUUUGGCGGUAUUUUAGUUCAUUUAGAGGAAUCUGUCUAAUAAAUGAUAAUCCACGAAUAAAUUUACUUAAUUUAAAAUUUUAUAUAUCGUUGUUAAAAAAAUAUUUUAUAAUAAAAAUAAUAUUUAAAAAUUAAUAAUAAAAAAUUAAUUCAGAUCAAGAUGUAGAAUAUAAUUAAGAAUAUGAUGGAUUACAAUAAAAUAAUUUGAUGAAUAAUUAUAGUUGUAAGAUUAAUUUGAAGGUGGAUUUAAAUGUAAUUUUAUUGGAGCGGCGCCCCUUGAGA
rnacentral:rRNA from 1 species